rnacentral:rRNA from 1 species
GACGAACGCUGGCGGCGUGCUUAACACAUGCAAGUCGAACGGUAAGGCCCUUCGGGGUACACGAGUGGCGAACGGGUGAGUAACACGUGGGUGAUCUGCCCUGCACUUCGGGAUAAGCCUGGGAAACUGGGUCUAAUACCGGAUAGGACUCCUGGCUUCAUGGUUGGGGGUGGAAAGCUUUUGCGGUGUGGGAUGGGCCCGCGGCCUAUCAGCUUGUUGGUGGGGUAAUGGCCUACCAAGGCGACGACGGGUAGCCGGCCUGAGAGGGUGACCGGGCACACUGGGACUGAGAUACGGCCCAGACUCCUACGGGAGGCAGCAGUGAGGAAUAUUGCACAAUGGGCGCAAGCCUGAUGCAGCGACGCCGCGUGAGGGAUGACGGCCUUCGGGUUGUAAACCUCUUUCAGCUAUGACGAAGCGCAAGUGACGGUAGUAGCAGAAGAAGGACCGGCCAACUACGUGCCAGCAGCCGCGGUAA